rnacentral:rRNA from 1 species
ACGGCAUUCCUAGUAUGCUCCACUCAUUCUACGCCAAGCACCCAAUCACGGGAUCAGAAUCACACUCUAGAUCAUACCUUUCACGAAAGAAAAGGACAGGCAGCCGCUGCUAAACCAAGAUCUCCAUCUCUUGACUCCGUCAAUCAAUCUUACUUUCUUUUUUGA